AAUAUGGCUAUGAUUUUAUCUUUGUAAAAAACAGAUUUUUAAUUUUUGCUUGCCUCCUCCUUUAUGUCGACUAUGGCUGCGCAUCUGCAUUACACAAUUGAAAUAUCUCAAGAGGUCUUUGGCUCUCAUCACUAGUAUCCAGGGACAGCGGAGCAACACACAAGAGAAUUCGACCAGAUUCAACAAGCAACCUUCGGGGUUCAUCAUUCCAAGCAAUGACGAAUCCCUAUCCACUUCUUAUGCUUUUUCCUUUCUUGUUCAUCAAAUGUAUAGUAUAUUUUUAUAUAGCAUAGAAUAAGUUAAUCCUACGGCUUGUGUGAGAAAUUAUACACUUGUAAUUGAAUUUCUGAAUAAAGAAAGCAAAUUUCAUGUACUGUUGUAAACUA